AAACAUGUCUGUAUGAUAGGUGUAUAGAGUCUGGCCUGCCCACUGGGGGUUUAAAGGCCGCGGUAUUAUGACCGUGCGAAGGUAGCAUAAUCAUUAGUCUUUUAAUUGGGGGCUGGUAUGAAUGGUUGGACGAGAAAUUAGCUGUCUUAAGUUUUGAGAAUUGAAUUUAACUUUUAAGUGAAAGGGCUUAAAUGGGCCGGGGGGACGAUAAGACCCUAUAAAGUUUGUACACUAAACUAGUUUAGAGUGAUUUAGGUUUAUAAAGUUUACUAUUGGGGAGGUGUUUAGUUGGGGCGACUAGGAUAUAAGUUAUCUAACUGUUUCUUUGUUGUAAUCAGAAAUAUUUGAGUUUAUGAUCCUUUUUUAGGAUUAUAGAGUAAAUUACUUUAGGGAUAACAGCGUAAUUUUUUUUGAGAGUUCUUAUCGAUAAAAAAGUUUGCGACCUCGAUGUUGAAUUAAAAUUUCUUUGUAAUGCAGCAGUUACAUGAGAAGGUCUGUUCGACCUUUAAAAUUUUACAUGAUUUGAGUUCAGACCGGCGCGAGCCAGGUG
rnacentral:rRNA from 1 species